rnacentral:rRNA from 1 species
CAGUCGCCACGGUAAUACGGAGGGGGCUAGCGUUGUUCGGAAUUACUUGGCGUAAAGCGUACGUAGGCGGCUUUGUAAGUUAGAGGUGAAAGCCUGGAGCUCAACUCCAGAAUUGCCUUUAAGACUGCAUCGCUUGAACGUCGGAGAGGUGAGUGGAAUUCCGAGUGUAGAGGUGAAAUUCGUAGAUAUUCGGAAGAACACCAGUGGCGAAGGCGGCUCACUGGACGACUGUUGACGCUGAGGUACGAAAGCGUGGGGAGCAAACAGGAUUAGAGACCCCCGUAGUCCCUGUCUCUUAUAC